GGGCUUCGGUCCGCUAGUAAAGUGGCAGACGGGUGAGUAACACGUGGGUAACCUGCCCGGAGGUGGGGGACAACCCUCCGAAAGGAGGGCUAAUACCGCAUGAUAUCCCUGAGGCUUCGGCUUCGAGGAUCAAAGCUAGCCUCUACAUGUAAGCUAGCUCCACCGGAGGGGCCCGCGGCCCAUUAGCUAGUUGGUGAGGUAACGGCUCACCAAGGCAACGAUGGGUAGCCGGCCUGAGAGGGUGUUCGGCCACACUGGAACUGAGACACGGUCCAGACUCCUACGGGAGGCAGCAGUGAGGAAUCUUGCGCAAUGGGCGAAAGCCUGACGCAGCGACGCCGCGUGGAGGACGAAGGUCUUCGGAUCGUAAACUCCUGUCAAGUGGGACGAAAGCUGCUGGGAUGAAUAAGCCCGGCAGUUGACGGUACCGCUGAAGGAAGCCCCGGCUAACUCCGUGCCAGCAGCCGCGGUAAUACGGAGGGGGCCAGCGUUGUUCGGAAUUAUUGGGCGUAAAGGGCGCGUAGGCGGCUUGGUAAGUCAGUUGUGAAAUCCCUCGGCUCAACCGAGGAAAUGCGUCUGAGACUGCCAUGCUUGAGUCCCGGAGAGGGUAGCGGAAUUCCCAGUGUAGCGGUGAAAUGCGUAGAUAUUGGGAGGAACACCAGUGGCGAAGGCGGCUACCUGGACGGGCACUGACGCUGAGGCGCGAAAGCGUGGGGAGCAAACAGGA
rnacentral:rRNA from 1 species